rnacentral:rRNA from 1 species
UAAUACGAAGGGGGCUAGCGUUGUUCGGAAUUACUGGGCGUAAAGCGUACGUAGGCGGAUUGUUAAGUGAGGGGUGAAAUCCCGAGGCUCAACCUCGGAACUGCCUUUCAUACUGGCAAUCUUGAGUCCGGGAGAGGUGAGUGGAACUCCUAGUGUAGAGGUGAAAUUCGUAGAUAUUAGGAAGAACACCAGUGGCGAAGGCGGCUCACUGGCCCGGAACUGACGCUGAGGUACGAAAGCGUGGGGAGCAAACAGGAUUAGAUACCCUGGUAGUCCACGCCGUAAACGAUGGAUGCUAGCCGUCGGGGAGCUUGCUCUUCGGUGGCGCAGCUAACGCAUUAAGCAUCCCGCCUGGGGAGUACGGUCGCAAGAUUA